UGGUCCACUACUUUAAUUUUUACUGAAAUUUGAACCUUAAACUUCAUGAUUUUUAACCUAUUACCAUCGGGCUACGCCCUUGAAUGCUUUUCUUAAUUGCAGAAAUAUAUCUUUCGGCCAACUAAUUUACCAAUAUGGGCGAAGCAUACACAACAUAUAUACCACCUGUGUAACAUACAUCCAUACAUUUACUCUUGUUUAUAAGUGAAUAACCAAAGGACUAACUAACAAAGCAUCUACAAAUUGUACUAAAGGGAGAUGUGCAAUGAAAUUGUUCAGCGUCCGGAGUUCUCUAGAAAGCUAACCUUUCCCAUCUCUCUUAAGCAGCCUGGGUUUCGGGAUGGAACCAUCCAAUGCUUCAAAAAUUUUCCUUUGCCUUAGCCCUGGGAAAACACGAAGAGAGACUUAACUCUUUCUUAGUUGGUUCACCAUGUUGCUGUUAUUUCCACACGCUAAAUAUGUAAGGCAUAAAUGUUAAUUAAUUGUUCUACGAGUAACUUGGAUUUUCCGACAGGUAAAAUAACAUUUUUCUUUGUACU